rnacentral:rRNA from 1 species
GAUGAACGCUGGCGGCGUGCCUAAUACAUGCAAGUCGAGCGAACAGAUGAGGAGUUUGCUCCUCUGACGUUAGCGGCGGACGGGUGAGUAACACGUGGAUAACCUACCUAUAAGACUGGGAUCACUUCGGGAAACCGGAGCUAAUACCGGAUAAUAUAUUGAACCGCAUGGUUCAAUAGUGAAAGACGGUUUUGCUGUAACUUAUAGAUGGAUCCGCGCUGCAUUAGCUAGUCGGGAAGGUAACGGCUUACCAAGGCAACGAUGCGUAGGCGACCUGGGAGGCUGAUAGCCGACACGGGAGCGGGGACACGGUCCAGAGGACUGAGACAGGCACCAGUAGGGAAUCGUCCGCAAUGGGCGAAAACCUGACGGAGCAACGGCACGUGAGUGAUGAAGGUCUUCGGAUCGUAAAACUCUGUUAUUAGUUGAGAACAAAUGUGUAAGUAACUGUGCACGUCUUGACGGUACCUGAUCAGAAAGCCACGGCUAACUACGUG